rnacentral:rRNA from 1 species
UACGGGGGGAGCAAGCGUUGUUCGGAUUUACUGGGCGUAAAGGGCGCGUAGGCGGCCAGCACAAGUCAGUUGUGAAAUCUCCGAGCUUAACUCGGAACGGUCAACUGAUACUGUGCGGCUAGAGUGCGGAAGGGGCAACUGGAAUUCUUGGUGUAGCGGUGAAAUGCGUAGAUAUCGCUUGGAACGCCAAAGGUGAAAACAGGUUGCUGGGGUUGUGCCGACGCUGAGACACGAAAGCCAGGGGAGCAAACGGG